UGGAACGUGUUUGAAGCUGACAGGAGAAUGCGAAGAGGGAUGUAAAGCUCGAUUUACCGCCUUAAAUUGUUCCGCGAGAUGUAGUCCCAACUGUGCUGGUAAUGGAUCCUGUCAUAGUCUGACUCGGCAUUGUGAUGAAGGAUGCAAGCCUUAUUUUUUCACCCUAUCGUGCGCUAAAAGAUGCAGUCCCUUUUGCUUCAAUGAUACCCAAUGUGACACUCUUACUGGCGUUUGCCGCGCAGGUUGUAAGGAAGGCUUUUUUGGUCCUAAGUGCU
rnacentral:sRNA from 1 species